AUAUUUUGACAAACGCUAUAUUCUUGUAAUAUAGAGGAAAGUCCAUGCUCACAAAAGCUGAGAUGCUUUUAGUGUUUGUGCUGAAGGAAAAAAUAACUUCAGGUAGCUUUUAGCUAACGGCAACGAAAGAGUCUAAGUCUAUUGAUAUGACUUUAGUAGUUAUAAAGUGCCAUAGUGACGAAGAAUCUGGAAACAGAGGAAAUGGAACGGGUAAACCCCACAAGUGAGAAACCCAAAUAUUGGUAGGGGAGCUUUGAGGAGGAAAUUGAACCAAAUCAGGGACCGGUAACGGUAGAUAAAUGUUUGUCGCCUUUUUAGGAACAGAACAUGGCUUAUAAAA
rfam:Clostridium sp. CAG:710 genomic scaffold, scf19